CCAAUUUUACCCCUCCUAUCUUCGGUCUCAUCCAGUCAACCACAUCUCAUCUCCUCCCAAAUCUCUCCGCCACGGCGUCCUUGCCUGGGCGCCGCUGCCCGCCGCUCGAGCGGGCCCGCGCUGCCGCCGAGCCACCGCCUAGCCGCUGCUCGAGCGCACCUGAGUGGCGGUACGCCAUCCCCGCGGGGCCAGCACUCCAGCGGACAGCCUGCCCGCCCGCGUCCCCACGCGCCACCUGCGCGCUGCUCGGGCCGUGGCCGCCUGCCCCCGCUCGCGCGCGGCCUGCUCGGAUCAAGUGGGCGCUACCCGCUGGGAGCCUCUGCCAAACGCUACGAGCCUGGGAUCGAGUGCGCCGCGGCGCGGCUGCGCGCGAACGCCUCGUCAUUCUCGCCGCCGCACACCGUCGUUCUUGCGGACAAGAAAUUUCCCGGCGUACCAUCCUUCCUCAGCGCUCUGUAGCAAGCAUGCUCGCAUGCAUCGGAAGCUAGCGCAAAUGAUGGCUCUGAUCUCCUCUUCUGUUUUCUCUCGUGCUGUGCUGUGUGCUGUUGGUGGGUUUAAUUUGGGGCGUCCCGUCGCUGCUGCAGACGGACAAGGCGUCACUGCUGGCUGAGGUGAUCGAGCACGUCAAGGAGCUGUAGCGGCAGACGUCGGCGGUGCUGGGCGCCGCAGGGGAGGGCGAGGGGGAGGCGGAGGAGGCGGCCGCGGCGCGGCAGCACCUGCUUCUGCCGACGGAGUCCGACGAGCUGGCGGUGGACGCAGAGGAGGACGGCGAGGUGUGGACGCAAGAGGAGGACGGCGAGGGGAGGCUCGUCGUGCGGGCGUCGCUGUGCUGCGAGGACCGCGCGGGGCUCAUCCUGGACAUCGCCCGCGGGCUCGCCGUGCUCCGCCUCCGCACGCGCCGAGAUCGCCGAGACCUGUUUUAACGGCGGUAAAACCAGAGGAGCAGCGUCUGCCCGCAGAAGUAGCAAGUAAUCAACACUGAGCUCUGAAACAACUUAACACACAGCAGCUCCUUAACUUGCACCGACUCAAAAUCAAAUAAAAGAAGGCCGCUCAUGUAUAAACCCUGAUUGAUGGUCGGUGCAGCCUCGGGUUCUUGCAGACAUGCAAGUGUAAGACAGGAACAAUAGAGAUCAAGCCCAGGUGAAUCUGGAGGCCUUUGGCUCUUUCUCUGCUUGAUA